rnacentral:rRNA from 1 species
UGCCAGCAGCCGCGGUAAGACGGAGGGUCCUAGCGUUGUUCGGAAUGACUGGGCGUAAAGGGUACGUAGGCGGUUUGGUCAGUUAGAUGUGAAAGCCCAGGGCUCAACCUUGGAACUGCAUUUAAUACUGCCAGACUUGAGAUCGGAAGAGGAAAGCGGAAUUUCUGGUGUAGAGGUGAAAUUCGUAGAUAUUAGAAGGAACAUCAGAGGCGAAGGCGGCUUUCUGGUCCGAUACUGACGCUGAGGUACGAAAGCGUGGGGAGCGAACAGGAUUAGAUA